rnacentral:rRNA from 1 species
GACGAACGCUGGCGGCGUGCCUAAUACAUGCAAGUCGAGCGAAGUUUUUCUGGUGCUUGCACCGGAAAAACUUAGCGGCGAACGGGUGAGUAACACGUAAAGAACCUGCCUCAUAGACUGGGACAACUAUUGGAAACGAUAGCUAAUACCGGAUAAUAGCAUUAACUGCAUGGUUGAUGUUUAAAAGUUGGUUUUGCUAACACUAUGAGAUGGCUUUGCGGUGCAUUAGCUAGUUGGUGGGGUAAAGGCCUACCAAGGCGACGAUGCAUAGCCGACCUGAGAGGGUGAUCGGCCACACUGGGACUGAGACACGGCCCAGACUCCUACGGGAGGCAGCAGUAGGAAAUCUUCCGCAAUGGGCGAAAGCCUGACGGAGCAACGCCGCGUGAGUGAAGAAGGAUUUCGGUUCGUAAAGCUCUGUUGUUAGGGAAGAAUGAUUGUGUAGUAACUAUACACAGUAGAGACGGUACCUAACCAGAAAGCCACGGCUAACUACGUG